AGUGAACGCUGGCGGUAGGCCUAACACAUGCAAGUCGAACGGCAGCACAGUAAGAGCUUGCUCUUACGGGUGGCGAGUGGCGGACGUGUGAGGAAUACAUCGGACUCUACUUUUUCGUGGGGGAUAACGUAGGGAAACUUACGCUAAUACCGCAUACGACCUACGGGUGAAAGCAGGGGAUCUUCGGACCUUGCGCGAUUGAAUGAGCCGAUGUCGGAUUAGCUAGUUGGCGGGGUAAAGGCCCACCAAGGCGACGAUCCGUAGCUGGUCUGAGAGGAUGGUCAGCCACACUGGAACUGAGACACGGUCAAGACUCCUACGGGAGGCAGCAGUGGGGAAUAUUGGACAAUGGGCGCAAGCCUGAUCCAGCCAUACCGCGUGGGUGAAGAAGGCCUUCGGGUUGUAAAGCCCUUUUGUUGGGAAAGAAAAGCAGCAGGUUAAUACCCCGCUGUUCUGACGGUACCCAAAGAAUAAGCACCGGCUAACUUCGUG
rnacentral:rRNA from 1 species